rnacentral:tRNA from 3 species
GGGGUUAUAGCUCAGUUGGUAGAGCGCUGCAAUGGCAUUGCAGAGGCCAGCGGUUCGAAUCCGCUUAGCUCCA